GGAUUCUGCAAUGCUGCACAUGCAGAAACUUCAGCAGCAACAGAAACAUUAUAAGGUUGCUUAGCUCUCCAAAGGUACUCAAUGAUGCUCAAAGGAAAUGCUCCGUAUCCAACUCGGAGUCCAGCUAAACCGGCUCUCUUGCUAAAUGUCCGUAGAACAAUCAAAUUGUCAUGCUUCUUCACCCAUUUCAUCCGAGAUUCCAGUCCUGAAAACUCUAUGUAUGCUUCAUCCAACACCACCAAGAUUGGGAGCUCAAGGAUUUUCAAUAGAUCCUCAUCACUGAUUAUACUCCCAUCAGGGUUAUUUGGUGAAGUUAAGAAAAUGCAUUUGGGGUUCUCUUGUUGAACGGCAUCAAUAAUAAGCUCAACAUUCAAGCUAAAGUCUGGCUUUCUCAGAACCUUAAUAACUUCUGCCCCAUUAACUGCAGCAUCAAAUUGAUACAUUGUAAAGGUUGGAGGACAGUCCACAAUUUUAUCACCAGGAUCCAGCGUACAUCGCAUUAUUAGAUCAAUAAGCUCAUCAGCACCACAUCCCACAAGAAUGUAAUCAGAUUCAAGGCCAGAAUCUUUGGCAAGAGCCUCACGCAACUGACGACUUUGAGGAUCAGGGUAUAUGUAAGGGAAUUUCAAAGACCCCAAAGCUUCAAAUACCUCUGGAGGUGGUCCAUAAGGGUUUUCAUUUGCAUCUAAUUUAACAAUAUCCUCAGGCUUCCUUCCAAGAUUAGCUGACAAAACCUCAAAAGGCAAAAUAGGCUGAUAAGGGGACAGUGUUCUCAAAUGGGAACGGAUAAAUGAGUCGCCGGUCAACCUCUGUUGACCCUCAUUGACAUGUUCUACAGGUAGAGUGGAGGCCAUGGCAAUGCCAAUGACCCUUCUUUGAUUAUUAACUUCUAAAGAGCAAGUGGGUCUCGGAGGCUCCAAAAAUUGGUGAAGAUUGUUGUUGGAUUUAAUCAAACACAGAGAGGCAGUGCUGUUGAUAUCAAUCACACCCAUGAAUGUCUGGGGGUGAGAAGAAAAGAUGGAAUCUUUUGACGAGUAAGAAAUGUGUACUAAUGGAGAAGGAGCCAAUAAGGGAAACCAUGAACUAAACCCUAGAGAUUAUUAUACUGAAAGAAAAGGCUGCGCCGAGCUCGAGCUACAAAUAUGAGU
rnacentral:misc_RNA from 1 species